rnacentral:lncRNA from 1 species
GUCAGGGUUUUCCAGAGAAACAGAAUCUAUAGGAUCUGUGUCUGUGUUUGUGUCUGUGUGAGAGAGAGAUUUAUUUUAUGGAAUUAUCUCGCCCGAUUGAAGGACUGGCAAUUGUGAAACCUGCAUGGUCGGCUGGCGGGCUGGAGACGUGGGAAGAACCUGGCGCCUUCGAUUCUGAAGGCCGUCUGGAGGCGGGUCCCUCUCGCUCAGGACACUCAGUGUUUUCCUUGAGUGCUCAGUGGAACAGUGCAGCCCACCCACAUCGUGGAGGGUGGUCUGCUUUGCUCAAAUCCCACCGAUUUAAAUGUUAUCCUUGUGUAAAAACAUACCUUCAGAGCAACAUCCCUACUGGUGUCCAAACGUCUGGGCCUGGGCCUGGCCGAGGUCACAGUUCACACCCCUACGGCAUCACUGUCCUUAAACAAACGGGGUCUGGAGGCACAGAGGCGCAGGCUGAGGGAGGAGGGGUCAGAGGCAGAGCCAGGACCCAGAUCACUGUCCUGCGCUGCCUCUCCACGGCUCGCUGAGGAUGACCACCACCGGGCCCUUCAGGAAGUUCAGGCUCCGUUAGGACUUGGCUACAGAGUGGGGACUGGGGGUCAAGGACUCGUCCCAGACAUGUGUGCUCCCCUUGAAAACCCUCACCCCCAGCACCUCCCACCUCCACCCGGAAAUGAGGUGCCCGACUCGCUCUGAUGGAGCGAGGUGGAGCCAAGAGGAGACCAUUUAUAAAGGGAUGUGUCUGCCUAGACAAGCCAGCCCUCUGGGCACCAAGGCACCGGGCUGCACCGAGGCUGUAAGCGGGGGACACCAGGCUGAGCUAACCAUGAAAGGGUCUUAGGAGACAGGGGGAUUCUGAGCGGUGAUAAAGCCCUGGCUUUGGAGGCAGACAGACGAGGGUGUGAGACCCUCCCCACCCCUUGGUGUCCGUGUGACUGUACGCAAGGCGGUUACCCCAUCUGAGCCUUGAGCUCCUCAAUGCAACAUGGGCAAACGGUAGGAGUGUGGGAGACGAUGAGAGGACAGCACACAGCCCGGGACUGGAGCACAGACAGCACACUCAGCAAACGGGAGUCAUCGUCACCCGUGACUCUGGACCAAUGCUGCCAGUCAAGAUGCUACAGCCGUAACGCGGAGCGUCAAAACUCUGGUACCUUCUGCACCUUCACCCUCAAUGCUGAAAAGGCUCUCGAUCAGGAAAAGGCCUAGGGAAGCACCGUGCCCGCAGGAUGACUUUGUGGGGUGACCUAGGAGGUUGCCGUGUCUGACCCCCCCACUUGUCGCUCCCCGCCUGUGUCUCUGUUUGUCUCAUAGGGCAUCACAGACUGACGCUGACAACAAAGCGUGUGGGGGACAGACUCCUCCCUUGACAUCUUCCAGCCACUUCUCUGUUUUCACGGGGGCAACGCAUCUGGCUUUCUUUUUCCACAUUCUGUAAAGAGCACGCAGCAGACUAAAGCCUGACUCCAGCCAGACGGCUCCUCCUCAGAGGAGUCCCGAGGCCCCGCUGUGCUGACGUCCACAGUCCCUGUUCCUAGCACCCUCUCCCCAUCGCCCCACGAGGCUCAGAGAGGCAGGGAGCUGCCGGCGAGUGUGAUGAGGCCGCACGGCCCGAGAACCAGACAGACCGGCUGCGCCACGGCUGCUUUCACUAGAGCUGUGUGACCUUGAGCAAACUCCCUGACCUCUCUGGAGUUCAGGUGCCCACCCGGGAGGUGACACUAGUUUUCUCUCGGAGCAGCUGGGCUGACUGGUGGCGGACACACAGUGGGGCCAUGGCCGCCCCACUACCUCUUCCCUUUCGUCGCUGGUAUCGCAUCCCUGGCCAUUCUGUGUGAGCCAAGCCAGGCCCUUUGCCAUCCACACUGGCCAGCUGCCGGAGGCCCUCGAAACUCCCACUAGCCAGGGUCCUCACAGCCCUGCUGGACUUUGAGGAGGGUCACCCCCUGCGUCCACACCACCCGGUCAGACUUCACAGUGAAGCAGUUGUGAUGGGGGCGGUAAUCAGAGUCUUCACAGGUCUUUACUGCCUGCUCACUGUUGCGGGCAAUAAGAUCGGUUUGGUUUGGUUUUAUUUGUGGUCCAUGCAGCGCACUGAACCACAGGACGUUUUCACAGACCCUUGUUGGACUAAACUGAACUGAAUUCCAGUCCUCCUCAGGCCGUGUGAUCCAGUGAGACGGUCACUCGAGCUGGCGAGUGGACGAGAGGGACAGCAGCUACAUCACGGAGAUGUGAGUCUGCUGGGCUCUGUGGGUCUGCCCGGAGCAGGUGAAGCAGGUGGGACAGGGCACAGGUGGGCAAAGCGGGGUAGCAAGGAGCACACCUGCACCAAGGGUGCGGCCUCUGGCCUUUGCUGACCACACCCAUGGGGCACCAGUCCCCGCACAUCAGCUCUGCCUCACCUGUGCGGCACCGUGGGACCUGCCCGUCUCCAGCGCUGUGUUCACACUCGGUGCUGAGAGAGGAAACAGUCAGAAGCCAGACGUGCAUUUCCAUUGGGCUCACCUCUCCUUGGUUCUUUCUGACGCCCAAGUGCUACGAUGACACCACUUUUGAGGAAAGCCACCAUUUCUAACCAAUGGCAGCCCAGAACAACAACCGAGUCCUGCAAGACAAAACCGAACAGGAGCGAGCGUGAGGUCCCAUGAGAGGUCCAGGGAAGAGCGACGAGGUGACAGCACGUAGAUGGCCUGGCUGUUUGUCCCCAGGGAGCUCAGCUGUUGGAAGUGGUGGGGCUGCCAACCCAGAAAAAGAGGGGGUUCCUCUGGCCAUCUGUUUGUUCAGCUGAGUCAGGAGGAACGUCAGCAAACUGGAGUCCCAAGGAGACGAGGAAUCAGGCCGGGGAAAGGACCCGAGGCUGUGAGCAUGGGAAAGGGCUGAAGGAUUUGUGACUCAGCUCAGACUGAGACAACACGAGACAACGACAGGAGGUCUAGCAGAUAAGACCCCCAGGCACGCUGAGGGGAGACCUCUAGGGGGCGUGGGGCUCAAGGCCUACACUGGAGUGGGGAAGGGACGACCUGUGCCCAGACUGCCAUCUCCUGGCCUGCGCCUUCCUGACACCUCCCUGUCCAUCAGUCAUUCAACAACCACUGCCCCUGCCCCAGGCCCCUCGCGCCUGCUGCUUCCAUCUGUCCAUCUGCUCCGACGCCAGCAGAACAGUGUUCAGUGUACAGUCAACUCCAGACCAAACCGCUGCCACUGUUUUCCAAAGGCUGGUGGGGUCGGCGGCCCCGCAGCUGCCCCCUCGACCCCUGACUCCCGGUGAUCAUGCCGCUGAGUAACGCCCUCUCCUGGACUGCGGGCUGGACCUAGCGACGGGCUUCCAACUGGCAGGAUGUGGCACAGCGCCGGGACGUCACCUGGCCAUGGGUCACUCAGACGGCGGCGUCCUCUCACGCUUUUCUCUCCUGCUCACUCCUGAGGGAAGGCCGCCGCCAGCUGCCCCCUUCCCUGUGGACAGGCCCAGGUGACAAGCAAGGGAGGGAGGCCUCGGGCCAGCGGUCAGCAGGGACCUGAGGCUUCAAUCCGACCACAUCCCACCACCAUGUAAGCGCGCUCGGAAGUGGACCCUUGCCAGCGACUCCCAGCCUGAAGCGCCUCCCAGGUGGGACCAGUCUCAUCCGUCCUUCCACCCCCACACGCCCAGGACGGGGACCUGGAUUUGAAUUUCGGAUAGAUCUGUGACCUUUGGAUGCUUAUUGGUUCGCCAAUGAAGGACGGGAGGCUUCCUCAGACGCGGUCCUGCGCCAGCACCUCAGACAAGGCCAUCCAUCUGAAAGGUGCCUGCGAGCCCCUGUUGCUCCUCCCGGCCUGUCAUCGAGGGUUCGGGCGGUCCUGCCUCCGCUCACCUCCAGCCUGUCUCGGCAACAUGGACCUCAGUCAGCAUGAGCCAGCAAGCUUUGAAGGCCGCCGUCUUUUUCCCUCUCUCCUGAGGCGUCUUCAUUUCCACUGCCGGGAGCACCGUCCUGGCCCUGACGGGUCACUCGUGGGGCUGUGUCCUCGGGCUCCACCCGUGACCUUUGCCAGAAGCCUCGCGGCACGGAUGUGUCAUGUGUUUCCUUUCACAGACCCCCGAGAGCAGAGUGGAGGUUUUGAAUAAAGAAAAAGGCAACCAUUUUACAAUCUCGUUUCCUUUGCUAGUCGCUACCUCCAGAUGCUGACUCGUUCGGCCAGAAGACUCCGUAGGUUUUUAUGAGACAGGAACUGUGAGCACACUGAGAGACGAAGCAGGGCAGACUGAGUUUUACCAGCAACACCGGGCUUUGCUGUCGCUUAAUCCUUGACUAGUCUGUUGACACAUGAAGCUCUUAAAAUCCUCGCUCUAUUUCUAAACCCCUGAUUUGUGCCUUUCAGUUGGAGCUUAUUCAGCUAAGACUGCACUGUGUGCUCAGCUGACAGACAGCAAACAUGCUUUCGUGGCUGCGACCAUAUGUUUGCAAAGACCUCAAUUACAAAAUUAACAGAGCAGAUUUCAUUGUCUUUGCUGAGCCCCAGAGAUGACAAUAAAAACCUCUAAUGAAGGGAGACA